AGUGAACGCUGGCGGCAGGCCUAACACAUGCCAGUCGAACGGCAGCACAAGAGAGCUUGCUCUCUGGGUGGCGAGUGGCGGACGGGUGAGGAAUGCAUCGGAAUCUGCCCAUUUGUGGGGGAUAACCUCGGGAAACCGGGACUAAUACCGCAUACGACCUACGGGUGAAAGCAGGGGAUCUUCGGACCUUGCGCAGAUGGAUGAGCCGAUGCCGGAUUAGCUAGUUGGAGGGGUAAAGGCCCACCAAGGCGACGAUCCGUAGCUGGUCUGAGAGGAUGAUCAGCCACACUGGGACUGAGACACGGCCCAGACUCCUACGGGAGGCAGCAGUGGGGAAUAUUGGGCAAUGGGCGCAAGCCUGAUCGAGCCAUGCCGCGUGUGUGAAGAAGGCCUUCGGGUUGUAAAGCUCUGUUGUUGGGAAAGAAAAGCAGCCGGUUAAUACCCGGUUGUCAUGACGGUACCCAAAGAAUAAGCACCGGCUAACUUCGUG
rnacentral:rRNA from 1 species